rnacentral:lncRNA from 1 species
CAUAAACUUGCAUAAAACUUACUUAAAACACAUAUAGAACUAGAGAUCGGCUCUUACCUCUUGAAGAUCGAGAGAGAAACGAUCCUAGCUCGAAGAUGGGGAGAUUCGAGUUCUUGAACCUCAAAGCUCCAAAACUUGCUUAAACUUUAAAACUCUUCAAAAACAAGAUGUAACUUGUUAAGAUCUAAAGGAUUUGAGGGAAAACACUUAAAAUGACCAUAGGAGGGCUAAAGCUUACCGUCGGCCGAAAUGGGAGAGAAAACCUCGCCAGUUUCGGUCACGGGGUCUCUUAUAGGGCAGGUUCUGUCACCUUUCGGCGGCCUAACGUGCCCCCACAUCUCAUGCAUGUUCGGCGACCGAACAUGAGGUUCGGCGGCCGAACCUUGAGUCUUUCAAACAAGGCUUUCGGAGGCCUAAAGCGCUCCCAAAACCCCACCAUGUUUGGCGGCCGAACUUAACUUUCGGCGGCCGAACCUGGCAAAGUCUCCUUGGUCUAUUUCAUUCAAAACUCAAUUUCCUUUUUGCUUAAAAACAUAAAAUACAUUAAAAACAUUCUAUAAAACAUGGUUUUACCCUUCUAGAGGUUUCCGACAUCCGAGAUUCCACCGGACGGUAGGAAUUCCGAUACCGGAGUCUAGCCGGGUAUUACA